CAUAGCGUAAUGAAGCGAACCGGGGGAACUGAAACAUCUAAGUACCCCGAGGAAAAGAAAUCAACCGAGAUUCCCCCAGUAGCGGCGAGCGAACGGGGAGCAGCCCAGAGUCUGAAUCAGCUUGUGUGUUAGUGGAACGGUCUGGAAAGUCCGACGGUACAGGGUGAUAGUCCCGUACACCAAAAUGCACAGGUUGUGAACUCGAAGAGUAGGGCGGGACACGUGGUAUCCUGUCUGAAUAUGGGGGGACCAUCCUCCAAGGCUAAAUACUCCUGACUGACCGAUAGUGAACCAGUACCGUGAGGGAAAGGCGAAAAGAACCCCGGCGAGGGGAGUGAAAAAGAACCUGAAACCGUGUACGUACAAGCAGUGGGAGCCUCUUUAUGGGGUGACUGCGUACCUUUUGUAUAAUGGGUCAGCGACUUAUAUUCUGUAGCAAGGUUAACCGUAUAGGGGAGCCGAAGGGAAACCGAGUCUUAACUGGGCGUUAAGUUGCAGGGUAUAGACCCGAAACCCGGUGAUCUAGCCAUGGGCAGGUUGAAGGUUGGGUAACACUAACUGGAGGACCGAACCGACUAAUGUUGAAAAAUUAGCGGAUGACUUGUGGCUGGGGGUGAAAGGCCAAUCAAACCGGGAGAUAGCUGGUUCUCCCCGAAAGCUAUUUAGGUAGCGCCUCGUGAACUCAUCUUCGGGGGUAGAGCACUGUUUCGGCUAGGGGGUCAUCCCGACUUACCAACCCGAUGCAAACUGCGAAUACCGAAGAAUGUUAUCACGGGAGACACACGGCGGGUGCUAACGUCCGUCGUGAAGAGGGAAACAACCCAGACCGCCAGCUAAGGUCCCAAAGUCAUGGUUAAGUGGGAAACGAUGUGGGAAGGCACAGACAGCCAGGAUGUUGGCUUAGAAGCAGCCAUCAUUUAAAGAAAGCGUAAUAGCUCACUGGUCGAGUCGGCCUGCGCGGAAGAUGUAACGGGGCUAAACCAUGCACCGAAGCUGCGGCAGCGACACUAUGUGUUGUUGGGUAGGGGAGCGUUCUGUAAGCCGUUGAAGGUGUACUGUGAGGUAUGCUGGAGGUAUCAGAAGUGCGAAUGCUGACAUAAGUAACGAUAAUGCGGGUGAAAAACCCGCACGCCGGAAGACCAAGGGUUCCUGUCCAACGUUAAUCGGGGCAGGGUGAGUCGACCCCUAAGGCGAGGCCGAAAGGCGUAGUCGAUGGGAAACAGGUUAAUAUUCCUGUACUUGGUGUUACUGCGAAGGGGGGACGGAGAAGGCUAUGUUAGCCGGGCGACGGUUGUCCCGGUUUAAGCAUGUAGGCGGAGGUUCCAGGUAAAUCCGGUACCUUUUAACGCUGAGGUGUGAUGACGAGGCACUACGGUGCUGAAGUAACAAAUGCCCUGCUUCCAGGAAAAGCCUCUAAGCAUCAGGUAACACGAAAUCGUACCCCAAACCGACACAGGUGGUCAGGUAGAGAAUACCAAGGCGCUUGAGAGAACUCGGGUGAAGGAACUAGGCAAAAUGGUGCCGUAACUUCGGGAGAAGGCACGCUGAUAUGUAGGUGAAGCGGUUUACCCGUGGAGCUGAAAUCAGUCGAAGAUACCAGCUGGCUGCAACUGUUUAUUAAAAACACAGCACUGUGCAAACACGAAAGUGGACGUAUACGGUGUGACGCCUGCCCGGUGCCGGAAGGUUAAUUGAUGGGGUUAUCCGUAAGGAGAAGCUCUUGAUCGAAGCCCCGGUAAACGGCGGCCGUAACUAUAACGGUCCUAAGGUAGCGAAAUUCCUUGUCGGGUAAGUUCCGACCUGCACGAAUGGCGUAAUGAUGGCCAGGCUGUCUCCACCCGAGACUCAGUGAAAUUGAACUCGCUGUGAAGAUGCAGUGUACCCGCGGCAAGACGGAAAGACCCCGUGAACCUUUACUAUAGCUUGACACUGAACACUGGUCCUUGAUGUGUAGGAUAGGUGGGAGGCUUUGAAGUGUGGACGCCAGUCUGCAUGGAGCCAUCCUUGAAAUACCACCCUUUAAUGGCUGGUGUUCUAACGUGGACCCGUAAUCCGGGUUGCGGACAGUGUCUGGUGGGUAGUUUGACUGGGGCGGUCUCCUCCUAAAGAGUAACGGAGGAGCACGAAGGUUAGCUAAUCCUGGUCGGACAUCAGGAGGUUAGUGCAAAGGCAUAAGCUAGCUUGACUGCGAGAGUGACGGCUCGAGCAGGUGCGAAAGCAGGUCUUAGUGAUCCGGUGGUUCUGAAUGGAAGGGCCAUCGCUCAACGGAUAAAAGGUACUCCGGGGAUAACAGGCUGAUACCGCCCAAGAGUUCAUAUCGACGGCGGUGUUUGGCACCUCGAUGUCGGCUCAUCACAUCCUGGGGCUGAAGUAGGUCCCAAGGGUAUGGCUGUUCGCCAUUUAAAGUGGUACGCGAGCUGGGUUUAGAACGUCGUGAGACAGUUCGGUCCCUAUCUGCCGUGGGCGCUGGAGAAUUGAGGGGGGCUGCUCCUAGUACGAGAGGACCGGAGUGGACGCAUCACUGGUGUUCGGGUUGUCAUGCCAAUGGCAUUGCCCGGUAGCUAAAUGCGGAAGAGAUAAGUGCUGAAAGCAUCUAAGCACGAAACUUGCCCCGAGAUGA
rnacentral:rRNA from 1 species